rnacentral:pre_miRNA from 1 species
CGGGCCCCGCCAGGAUAAGGGAGAAGAUGCUGGAGGGCGGGACUCGUGCUGCUUUUGAGCCGUGUGCCUGCCGACCAUCACCUUUCGAAGCCCCCUCUCUCUAG